UACAGAGGGUGCGAGCGUUGUCUGGAAUCACUGGGCGUAAAGGGCGCGUAGGCGGCUUUUCACGCGUGCGGUGAAAGCUCGGGGCUUAACUCCGAGUCUGCCGUGCGAACGGGGAGGCUUGAGUCUGGUAGAGGUCGAUGGAAUUCCGGGUGUAGCGGUGGAAUGCGUAGAGAUCCGGAAGAACACCGGUGGCGAAGGCGGUCGACUGGGCCAGUACUGACGCUGAGGCGCGACAGCGUGGGGAGCAAACAGG
rnacentral:rRNA from 1 species